rnacentral:rRNA from 1 species
CGCACGGGUGAGUAACACGUACCCAACCUGCCGUCUACUCUUGGACAGCCUUCUGAAAGGAAGAUUAAUACAAGAUGGCAUCAUGAGUCCACAUGUUCACAUGAUUAAAGGUAUUCCGGUAGACGAUGGGGAUGCGUUCCAUUAGAUAGUAGGCGGGGUAACGGCCCACCUAGUCUUCGAUGGAUAGGGGUUCUGAGAGGAAGGUCCCCCACAUUGGAACUGAGACACGGUCCAA